rnacentral:rRNA from 1 species
GAGGAAUUUUGGACAAUGGGGGCAACCCUGAUCCAGCGACGCCGCGUGAAGGAUGAAGGUCUUCGGAUUGUAAACUUCUUUUGUUCGAGACUAAGAAACCUGUAGAAAUAUGGGGAGUGAAUGUAUCGGAUGAAUAAGCCACGGCUAACUUCGUGCCAGCAGCCGCGGUAAUACGAAGGUGGCAAGCGUUACUCGGAAUUACUAGGCGUAAAGGGCAGGUAGGUGGUUUGGUAAGUCUGUUGUGGAAGCUCCCGGCUUAACUGGGAGAGGUCAACAGAUACUGCCAAGCUUGAGUGUAGGAGAGGGUACUGGAAUUCCCGGUGUAGCGGUGAAAUGCGCAGAGAUCGGGAGGAACACCAAUGGCGAAAGCAGGUACCUGGACUAUUACUGACACUAAGCUGCGAAAGCUAGGGGAGCAAAC